GUGGGGAAUAUUGGACAAUGGGCGCAAGCCUGAUCCAGCCAUGCCGCGUGGGUGAAGAAGGCCCUAGGGUUGUAAACCCCUUUCAGCGGGGAAGAUAAUGACGGUACCCGCAGAAGAAGCCCCGGCUAACUCCGUGCCAGCAGCCGCGGUAAUACGGAGGGGGCUAGCGUUGUUCGGAAUUACUGGGCGUAAAGCGCGCGUAGGCGGACCUGCAAGUCGGGGGUGAAAGCCCGAGGCUCAACCUCGGAACUGCCUUCGAUACUGCGGGUCUCGAGUCCGGGAGAGGUGAGUGGAAUUCCUAGUGUAGAGGUGAAAUUCGUAGAUAUUAGGAAGAACACCAGUGGCGAAGGCGGCUCACUGGCCCGGUACUGACGCUGAGGCGCGAAAGCGUGGGGAGCAAACAGGAUUAGAAACCCGAGUAGUCC
rnacentral:rRNA from 1 species